rnacentral:sRNA from 1 species
GCUAGAAGUGGUGGUGCACAUCUGUAAUCCCAGCUGCUUGAAGGCUGAGGCAGGAGGAUUUCAGUUCCAGGCCUGUUCAGCUUAGCAAGAUCCUUCCUCAA